rnacentral:rRNA from 1 species
UACGGAGGGUGCAAGCGUUAUCCGGAUUCACUGGGUUUAAAGGGUGCGUAGGAGGGCAGGUAAGUCAGUGGUGAAAUCCUGGGGCUUAACCCCAGAACUGCCGUUGAUACUAUCGGUCUUGAAUGUCGUGGAGGUAAGCGGAAUAUGUCAUGUAGCGGUGAAAUGCUUAGAUAUGACAUAGAACACCGAUAGCGAAGGCAGCUUGCUACACAAUUAUUGACACUGAGGCUCGAAAGCGUGGGGAUCAAACAGG